AGUUCCGUGGUGAAUGUCAUGUUGAUUGCAAUUCAAAGAAGCAGCUUCAAUUCUGCCGGGACUU
rnacentral:tRNA from 1 species